AGGACAUCUGGGCCUUCAUUAUGACCGGAGCGAUUAUAAAUCAGAGCUACACAUUGACGGGAAUCGAGAUCAGAACAGAACAGUACAUAAUGAAAAUGCAAGCAAUUGGAGGUCUUCAAAGGAUAUGUUGAUGACAAUCUUAUUUGGUUUUGGGCUCGGGUUGAAUGUGAGCAUUAAAAUGUUAGAUGUUUUAGGCCUAGACUCUUUUAUUAAUUUAAGAGUUAGUUUUCUCUUUUGGUUAUCAAUUUAAUUUAUUUAUACUAUUUAUUUAUGUUGGUUUUAUCACUUAGAUAUUUAAACGCAUUUCUUGUAGUAGUGACAUUCCCAGAAGACGAUGUUUCCGCCAUCGUCCUAUACUACUAUUAUUAUUAUUUCUUUCUUUUCUGCUUUGAAA